ensembl:lncRNA
GAGAGACAGAGAGAGACAGACAGGCAGAGAGAGAGAGAGAGAGAGAGAGACAGACAGGCAGAGCGAGAGAGAGAGAGAGAGAGAGAGAGAGAGAGUGAGAGAGAGACAGACAGGCAGACGGAGAGAGAGAGAGACAGACAGGCAGAGAGAGAGAAUAUGCAAUAACAUUUCUAGCCUGUUAAUACACCCUACCAGCUUGUUCAGAAAGCUCUCGGAAGCGAGCUCAUCUCUUCCGCCGUUACAUUAGUUGCUCAAUUCCCCGUGAGGCAGCGCGUAUGAGGUCGCUUCGCUGGAUACACCAUUACUCAUAUACCAGCAUGACGUUUUCUGUCGCUGCUCAUAACUCCCUGACGUCAGUGCUAAUUUAACACACUCUGUGCCUCAAUGUCAGUUUAAAAUACACACCGCUAGAACCAAAAGAACCAAACAGAGGAGGAGCCCCCCCGGCGUCCUGCCGAAAUCCCCCGUUGACCCUUAUCCAUCACGGCCCCCUAAUAAUCCCCAUCCCUGAACUGGCUACAUCACUCUCUCCUCUCCACUAAUAGCCGGUGUGGUGGGCGUCCUGGCGCGCUAUGGCUGCCGUCACAUCAUCCAGGUGGAUGCUACACACUGGUGGUGGUUGAGUAGACCCCCCCCCCCCCCCCUUCCCCAAUCUAAAGCGCUUUGAGU